GACGAACGCUGGCGGCGUGCUUAACACAUGCAAGUCGAACGGAAAGGCCCUGCUUUUGUGGGGUGCUCGAGUGGCGAACGGGUGAGUAACACGUGAGUAACCUGCCCUUGACUUUGGGAUAACUUCAGGAAACUGGGGCUAAUACCGGAUAGGAGCUCCUGCUGCAUGGUGGGGGGUGGAAAUUUUCGGCGGUUGGGGAUGGACUCGCGGCUUAUCAGCUUGUUGGUGGGGUAGUGGCUUACCAAGGCUUUGACGGGUAGCCGGCCUGAGAGGGUGACCGGCCACAUUGGGACUGAGAUACGGCCCAGACUCCUACGGGAGGCAGCAGUGGGGAAUAUUGCACAAUGGGCGGAAGCCUGAUGCAGGAACGCCGCGUGCGGGAUGACGGCCUUCGGGUUGUAAACCGCUUUCGCCUGUGACGAAGCGUGAGUGACGGUAAUGGGUAAAGAAGCACCGGCUAACUACGUG
rnacentral:rRNA from 1 species